rnacentral:rRNA from 1 species
GCGGCAUGCUUAACACAUGCAAGUCGAACGGUAACGGGCCUUCGGGCGCCGACGAGUGGCGGACGGGUGAGUAACGCGUAGGAAUCUGCCUGGUAGUGGGGGACAACUUAGGGAAACUUAAGCUAAUACCGCAUACGCCUUACGGGGGAAAGCGGGGGAUCUUCGGACCUCGCGCUAUCAGAUGAGCCUGCGUUGGAUUAGCUAGUUGGUAGGGUAAAGGCCUACCAAGGCGACGAUCCAUAGCUGGUCUGAGAGGACGAUCAGCCACACUGGGACUGAGACACGGCCCAGACUCCUACGGGAGGCAGCAGUGGGGAAUAUUGGACAAUGGGCGAAAGCCUGAUCCAGCAAUGCCGCGUGUGUGAAGAAGCCUGAGGGUUGUAAAGCACUUUCAAUGGGAAGGAAAAAAGCCGGGCUAAUACCCCGAUUCUUGACAUUACCUAUAGAAGAACACCGGCUAACUCCGUGCCA